UUUCGCAAUGCCCGAAAGGGUGACGAAGCGACGCCGCGUGUGGGAAGAAGGCCUUCGGGUUGUAAACCACUGUCGGGAGUUAAGAAAUACAAGGAUAUUAAUAGUGUCUUUGUUUGACUAAGGCUCCGGAGGAAGCCACGGCUAACUCUGUGCCAGCAGCCGCGGUAAUACAGAGGCGGCAAGCGUUGUUCGGAAUUAUUGGGCGUAAAGAGCACGUAGGCGGCUAUGUAAGUCGGUUGUGAAGGCCUUCCGCUCAACGGAAGAACAGCAUCCGAUACUACAUGGCUUGAGUGCGGGAGGGGAGAGUGGAACUUCUGGUGGAGCGGUGAAAUGCGUAGAUAUCAGAAGGAACGCCGGCGGCGAAAGCGGCUCUCUGGCCCAUAACUGACGCUGAGUGUGCGAAAGCUAGGGGAGCAAACGGGAUUAGAUACCCCGGUAGUCCUAGCCGUAAACGAUGGGCACUAAGUAGAGGGGUUUU
rnacentral:rRNA from 1 species